UUUUACCAACUUUUUGCGACAGCAGUAUCAAAGUUUGAAAAUUCCUACUUGAAAUACAUCAAAAAGACACUGUUUUACUCGACAGACAAUUAAUGUUCGUGUACUAAGCCAUCGUCAGAAAAUCGUCAGCCGGAAAUAAACACGCUGCAGGACGUGUACCAGGUGGAAGAAGAAACAGGCAGCAAAAAACGAGUGUAUGGUCCGAGGACUUCGCGGAGGACACGAUGGCCAGGAAACAGGAACAUCUCGCAGGAUAUGGCCUACUCGAUCCUCGGCAACGUCGAAUCGACCGUUGGCCUUUAGAAUAUGGCAGGGUUGAAGUGUUCCCCACACAGGCGCAACUAGACCAAUAUUUUUAGGAGUGCAAAAAUUAUAAAGAUUUCCUGUAUGAUUACCCCUUAACACUGUCUACCUAUUAACGAUAAUUUAAAAUGUAUAUUUAUGUACUACCUCCCUAUAUGUUUGGAAUAUUUUUGUGAAACAGUAACAGUAAAUAUUAAAUAAUAUUGUGACUACUACAUA